rnacentral:piRNA from 1 species
UCGGACCAUAUCGGGAUUGUGAAAG